UCCGGUUUGGCACCGGCAGUCCUCCCAGAGUCCUCGACUUGACUCGCUAGCAACUGGGAGCGGGGGUUGCGCUCGUUGCGGGACUUAACCCAACAUCUCACGACACGAGCUGACGACAGCCAUGCAGCAUCUGUGGUGCACCCUCGAAGGUCACACGUUUCCGUGCGCUUACAGCACCAUGUCAAGUCCAGGUAAGGUGGGGAUGACGUUCGUCUGAC
rnacentral:misc_RNA from 1 species